rnacentral:rRNA from 1 species
UACGGGGGGGGCAAGCGUUGUUCGGAAUUACUGGGCGUAAAGGGCUUGUAGGCGGCCAACUAAGUCAGACGUGAAAUCCCUCGGCUUAACCGGGGAACUGCGUCUGAUACUGGAUGGCUUGAGUUCGGGAGAGGGAUGCGGAAUUCCAGGUGUAGCGGUGAAAUGCGUAGAUAUCUGGAGGAACACCGGUGGCGAAGGCGGCAUCCUGGACCGACGCUGACGCUGAUGAGCGAAAGCCAGGGGAGCAAACGGG